UACGAAGGGGGCUAGCGUUGCUCGGAAUCACUGGGCGUAAAGCGCACGUAGGCGGAUCUUUAAGUCAGGGGUGAAAUCCUGGAGCUCAACUCCAGAACUGCCUUUGAUACUGGGGAUCUCGAGUCCGGAAGAGGUGAGUGGAACUCCGAGUGUAGAGGUGAAAUUCGUAGAUAUUCGGAAGAACACCAGUGGCGAAGGCGGCAUCCUGGACCGGUAUUGACGCUGAGGAGCGAAAGCCAGGGGAGCAAACGGG
rnacentral:rRNA from 1 species